rnacentral:rRNA from 1 species
UACGUAGGGACCAAGCGUUGUUCGGAUUUACUGGGCGUAAAGAGCUCGUAGGCGGCUUGUCGCGUCGUCUGUGAAAUCCCGCGGCUCAACUGCGGGCUGGCAGUCGAUACGGGCAGGCUGGAGUUCGGUAGGGGAGACUGGAAUUCCUGGUGUAGCGGUGAAAUGCGCAGAUAUCAGGAGGAACACCGAUGGCGAAGGCAGGUCUCUGGGCCACUACUGACGCUGAGAAGCGAAAGCAUGGGGAGCGAACAGG